rnacentral:rRNA from 1 species
AGAGUUGAUCCUGGCUCAGAUGACGCUGGCGGUAGGCUUAACACAUGCAAGUCGUGCGAGAAAGUAUCUCGGAUAUGAGUAGAGCGGCGGACGGGUGAGUAACGCGUAGGAAUCUACUAGUAGAAGGGGAUAGCCCGGGGAAACUCGGAUUAAUACCGUAUACCUCUUUCGGGAGAAAGAAGGCCUCUCUUUGAUGCUUUCGCUAUUAGAUGAGCCUGCGUAAGAUUAGCUUGUUGGUGAGGUAAAGGCUCACCAAGGCGACGAUCUUUAGCUGGUCUGAGAGGACGAUCAGCCACAUUGGGACUGAGACACGGCCCAGACUCCUACGGGAGGCAGCAGUGGGGAAUAUUGGACAAUGGGCGCAAGCCUGAUCCAGCCAUACCGCGUGUGUGAAGAAGGCCUUCGGGUUGUAAAGCACUUUAAGCAGGGAGAAAAAGUUAUAAGUUAAUACCUUAUAGCCGUGAUGUUACCUGCAGAAUAAGCACCGGCUAAUUCCGUGCCAGCAGCCGCGGUAAUACGGAAGGUGCAAGCGUUAAUCGGAAUUACUGGGCGUAAAGCGCGCGUAGGUGGUUUGUUAAGUUGGAUGUGAAAGCCCUGGGCUCAACCUAGGAACUGCAUCCAAAACUAACUCACUAGAGUACGAUAGAGGGAGGUAGAAUUCAUAGUGUAGCGGUGGAAUGCGUAGAUAUUAUGAAGAAUACCAGUGGCGAAGGCGGCCUCCUGGAUCUGUACUGACACUGAGGUGCGAAAGCGUGGGUAGCGAACAGGAUUAGAUACCCUGGUAGUCCACGCCGUAAACGAUGACAACUAGCUGUUGGAAGACAAUGUCUUUCAGUGGCGCAGCUAACGUUUUAAGUUGUCCGCCUGGGGAGUACGGCCGCAAGGCUAAAACUCAAAGGAAUUGACGG